rnacentral:lncRNA from 1 species
ACACACAUGCAUAUAGACCACAUCCUGCUUAGCACUUUCCUCACAAAUAACUUGCUGCAGUUCUCAGGAACACACCAGCUUUCCACUUUGAAUUGAUUAACAGAAUUUCAUCAUGACUGCUGGUGUACGACAGCUUCUAGGCUUGGCCUUGGCCACCGUCAGCUUUGUGGGGAACAUCAUCAUCUGUGCUCUCCCACAGUGGAGAGUGAAAGAGUUCUGGCGUGAAGCUUAUCCCUUUGAAUCCAACGUCACUGUGUCUCUGAUGUUCUUUGAGGGUUUAUGGAAGUUCUGUGUAACAACCUCCAGUGUACUCCUGACUCAAUGCCAAAGAGUGAGCUUGGAGCCUCAGUCUACAUUGGCUGGAUCACCACAGCACUUCUGUUCCUGGGAGGAAGCCUCCUCUGCAGAUCUGCCACGGUGAAACUGACUAAAACAUUAAGUACUUCAAUGCUCACUCUUUGUAAAUAAGGCCUUACUUAUCUAUAUUUGUAAAACAAACUUAGCAGUCUCUUGGAAACAAGACAAAUGUUUUAUGACAUUUUUAACAUUUUAAGAAUAUCUAAAAUCUGAUUAAAAUUAUUUAUCCUCUUGACUAUAAAAAUGUUGAAACUGUUUUCUUUUUUUCUGUGAUCUUUGCAAAAUCAGAAGAUUCAAAACUGCUAUAAAACAUGACUGUAUGGCCAGUGGUCUGGGUCUGAUCAUUGACUCCUUUUUCUUUAUUAAACUGGUUCAAUAUUGAUGAUUAUGUUAUUGAUUUCCAUUCAGAAUAUUUUACUGCAGAAUUUGCUUGAAUUAGAAUGAAAACAAAAAUAUUCAAUUAAGUUUUAUUUAUGUACAGCUAAAUCACAGCAAUCACCUUAAGAUGAUUUAUAUUCUAACAAUCAGACAACCUUGGGAAGGAAAACUCCCUUUUAGCAGGAAGAAACUUCCAGCAGAACCAGGCUCAGGGAGGUGCAGCCAUCUGCUGCAACCAGUUUGGGUCAAGGUUUCAACAUCUGCGAGGCGCAGAUCAUUUGGAGCAGAAAGAGGAUCCAAAUGCAGAUGUUUUGAGGUAGGAGGGAGUUGGCUCAAGGAGGGGCGGCCAUCUGCUGCGACUGGUUGGGGUGAGAGAAGGAAGACAGGCUGAUUGUCAAAACAGUACAAAAAUAGGAAAAAAAAACUGAAACAAGCAACUAAUCAGGAAACCUAAACUUGGUAAAACACCAGAAACCUUGACUAUUAGGAAUUUGCAGACACAGGGGCAGGAGAACAGACUUUCUGUCAAAGGUCAGAGGAAAACAGACAAUAAAUUCACUGAAGGGUGAUUAGGGAAGUGGAAACACACGGGGAAAAAAAGGUGUAGCCUCACGUUAUAGUCUUAGUGGCUAUUGCACUUUUCUGUGCAAUAAGUCCUUUACACCUGUGGUGGUCCUGAGCGUUUUGGUACUAGCAGGGGCGAUUUUAGCCCAUUUUGCACCCCCAAAAUGAAUCAAAGCACCCCCAAAGAUUUCUUACUUUUUUGACAAUAUUUGCUGUUUGUGUGACACACUACUAAAAAUAUAAAAAGCAUACAGUACUUGGUUGAGACGUAACAUUUUAACCACAAAAGUAUAGAUAACCCCCCCGCCCAAAAUGGUUUGUUCCGGCUCCCCCUGCUCUGGCUCUAGCCACCAUUGCUCUUGCCAGAGCAAUGGUGGCUGAGACGCAGCGGAGCGGAGGUGUAAGUGUCUGUCUUAAAACAGGACAUGUUAGCUGCAUUUCACCUUCAGUUACUCUUUAUGUAGUUAAGUAGGAGUCAGACCAUGUUUCUUUUUAGCUGAAAAACAUUACACCCAUUGAAAUUUAUACAGCCUAUUUAAAAUUUAAAACUUAAAAUUGUCUGUAGCCUGCUGUUGUUACCACUGUCCUGUUUGAAAUGGAAUGAGAGAAGCUGGUUAUUUUGUCAUAUGUGCAUGUGCCGAUAUUAAACCCAGGAGCAACAUUCAGGUAAAAGUGUAAGAACAAAUGAUCUGUCAAUAAAGGAUAAUGUUGGAACAGUGUUUCAAUAUUUAUAUCUUUUAUUUGAUGUUUAUGUGGUUUGGUUAUUUUCCUUUUGAUUGAAAGUACACUGAGAGAGGACUGUUUUUUAUUGGUGAUCUUAAUAAUAUAUUUUUUGAUAUUAAUGUAAUAUUUUCAUCUAAUUGAAUACAAUCUAUUUGUGUAUGAUUGUCAGUCCAAAGAGGGAGAGAGGAAAGAGGGGAACGUGAGGAGAAAGUACAAGGUCAGGAAGAACCAGGUAAGAAAACAGACAGGGAAUACUAACAAGCAAAACAGAAACUGUUAAACUGCUUGAGAGAGUUGACCACCAAAAAGUGAUAGACAGAUUUGCCAACUUCAAGGUGAGGCGACACAGGUUAAAAUAAAAGAAAAAAAUCUGCAGAGCCAUAGUAGUAUCUGCAGUAAAGAUCUUUUCAUACAUUGUAUACAUUGUACCAUAGGCAAAGUUGCCUCCAUUUUUAUAAUUUUUUUUAUCAAUAUUUUGUACAUUUGUACAUUUCAAGGACUCUAUUUUUGGAGUGUAUUUUUAUGUAUCUGUAUUAUAUUAUACAUACACGUUAAAAGUAGAGAUGGCGCGAUACCACUUUUUUAUGUCCGAUACCGAUACCGAUAUCAUAAAUUUGGAUAUCUGCCGAUACCGAUAUGAAUCCGAUAUAGUGUGUUUUUUAAUCAAUAAAACUAUUUUUUUAAUAUCUUGCUGCAUUUUGUAUACGUUCAUACUCAAGUUUAAAUAAACAACAACACUAAAGCUAUUCUGUUAUACCUGCAUGUAAAAAAUACACUGCACCCAAAAUAUUUCAUAGUUCAGCAACACUGAUCAAUCUAAUAAACUUAAACCUACUCCAUCCUCCCUAUUCUGGUAUUUUAAAGAGUACUUAGCAGAAAUAUUAAGCAACCUAACUAAUAGGGUUGCAAACUCCCAGCAAAAAAAAAAAAAUAGGGAACCACCCCCCACCCUCCACCUCAUGAUGCUUAAUCGAUGUAAUAAACUUUAAUUUGAUGCAGGGUAAAAAAAAAAAUGCACAGAAAUAAAUUAUUUUUCAAGAAUAAUUAAAUAGAUUCAACAUCUUUCUUCAACAGAAUUGCAGAAUUCACAGAUGGUACUUUCCCAAAGGAAAAAGUACUAUAGCUUACUAGGGUAUAUUAGACUUAACAGUUACUAUAUACAGUAAUGGACUUCUAUACAUUUUACAUCAGAUUAAAACUUUGGGUGUAAGAUUCAGAUAAUUAUUUAUUAAAAGCGAGACAUUUUAAAUGAGAAUAAGAAAGAAAAAGUAUGUCUUUGUGCCCCCUUUUCCCUGUUAAUGCCCUAUCGGCCCCCCUGGCUAAACUUUGCUAGAUCCGCCCCUGCACAGUUACCAGCCGUCAGCUACGUAGAAAAGGAUCCUGGUGUAGAAAGUAAUAUUAAAUAAAUUCUAACAACAGCUUAUCAAGCUUAAAGGUGCUGCUGUUGUUCAGCCGCUGGUUUCCUCUUUCAGGUGCAAAGUGGGCCAAAAACAAAGAAGAGAGACGGACUCACGACAGAAAAGCCGAUCAGCUGAUCAUUAAUAAGUUUCACAUUGAAGUAGCAGCAGGAGAGGCAGUCGCUCCAUAUAUCGGUUGUUAAGCUUAACAAACAUUCAGAGAUGAACUUACACACUUGCUUUAUUUCUCUCUGGGAUAACUUUCUCGGAGAUGAAAUGCUGGUUUGGUAGCGAGGCUACAAAUACACACAGCCGCUCAGUCACGUGAUGCAUACCGCUCCAACGUGCUACGGUUAUGAGCCGAGUUACGCCAUGUCGCUAGUUUUGUGAGGUGUUUUUUUGAUAUUUAAUGGAUCGGAUUACAUUUUUUAUUUCUCGCCGAUAUCCGAUCCAGUAAUUUAGGUCAGUAUCGGACCGAUACCGAUACGUAAUAUCGGAUCGGUCCAUCUCUAGUUAAAAGUGAACCUCUGUCCAAAAAAUGCACUCAGUUUACUUUUUACUCACUAUGAUCAUCAUUCAUCAUUUUCCCCCAGUAAUUACCCAUAUGGAAAAAAUAUAUAUAAAUCUUAUAAAGUUUGUAUCUGUCUUGUGUGAAACUUGUAUGAAAAGCAUACAAGAGUGAAAACAGAUAUAAGAUCCCUUGAGAAAUUAUAUAAAUGAAGCUCGUAUGUUUUGGAUACUUCCUAAAACAAUAUAUGAAAGUAAUGAGAAAGUGGCCACUUUCAUGAGUAAAUCAUAUAAGCCUUAUAUGAUUCACUAUAUGAAGUAGGCCACAUCUUAUGCAAGUCUUUUAUAAGUUUUUACCAUUUCUUUUCCAUAUGGGUAAGGUUAGGAUAUUUUUUUUUUUAUUAUUCCAAUCCAUUCUUCUUUUGCAGCAUUUAAAUAAUCUUUAUCUGAUUUGAUGGUUUUGUUACAGACUUUAAAAAAGUGUUUUGCUUUUCCUUCACAAACGUGGGGAUUAAAUUGUGUUAAAAUGUACAAAACAAUGAUGUCAUGUUUUGUGACGAGGACCCAGGCACAGAGAGACUUGAUGAAUUUAAGAAUCUUAUGAUUUAAUAAAGAAAUUUACAGACUUGCACAGAGAUGGUAAAAUUGUGAUGACUGAUAAUGGAGAUGAAGACAACAGACGAUGAGGACAGGGAGGAACACGGGUUUAAAUGCACCAAGGAGACAGUCAGAGGGAACUCGGGACAACUGGAGACAUUUAAGGAUGCAGGGACUCACAGAGACAGGGAAGAAGUCUCAUCGUGACGAGUAAAGUUUAUCUUGCCUGGCUGGGCAGCUCUCUGGGUGCUCAGCACCCCCAAAGCUCUGAUCCUAGAAUCGCCCGUGGUUUGACCACAAACUGGAUUCUGGAAAAGACAUACAGGCAACAGUUGUAUAAACUGUAAUUAUUUGUAAUGUUUGUAAUGAUCCCUGGGUGCUCUCAGUCUGCAUGAAUUUUGCAUUUUCCUUAGGAAAAAUGCUAAUCCUAAGUUUCUCUAAUUUAGUAAGGUUUCGACUUAUUUCUUCUCAAAGGUGACCACUUUUAUGGGGUUGCUAACUCCAGCUCAGUGUGUUCAGUCAUGAAUUCUCUGUGCUGCUACAGUCCUCCACUCAUAACAAUGCUCUGCAUUAAUAAAAACUUUUAGUA